ACUCCUACGGGAGGCAGCAGUGGGGAAUAUUGGACAAUGGGGGAAACCCUGAUCCAGCCAUGCCGCGUGUGUGAAGAAGGCCUUCGGGUUGUAAAGCACUUUCAGUGGGGAGGAAAGCUUGUCGGUUAAUACCCGGCAAGGACGACAUCACUCACAGAAGAAGCACCGGCUAACUCCGUGCUAGCAGCCGCGGUAAUACGGAGGGUGCAAGCGUUAAUCGGAAUUACUGGGCGUAAAGCGUGCGCAGGCGGUCUGUUAAGCGAGAUGUGAAAGCCCCGGCUC
rnacentral:rRNA from 1 species